rnacentral:rRNA from 1 species
GACGAACGCUGGCGGCGUGCUUAACACAUGCGAGUCGAACGGAAAGGCCCUGCUUUUGUGGGGUGCUCGAGUGGCGAACGGGUGAGUAACACGUGAGUAACCUGCCCUUGACUUUGGGAUAACUUCAGGAAACUGGGGCUAAUACCGGAUAGGAGCUCCUGCUGCAUGGUGGGGGUUGGAAAGUUUCGGCGGUUGGGGAUGGACUCGCGGCUUAUCAGCUUGUUGGUGGGGUAGUGGCUUACCAAGGCUUUGACGGGUAGCCGGCCUGAGAGGGUGACCGGACACAUUGGGACUGAGGUAGGGCCCAGAGUGGUACGGGAGGCAAAAGUGGAGAAUAUUGCACAAUGAGCGGGAGCCUGAUGCAGAAGCGCCGCGUGCGGAAUGAAGGCCUUCGGGUUGUAAACCGCUUUCGCCUGUGACGAAGCGUGAGUGACGGUAAUGAGUAAAGAAGCACCGGCUAACUACGUG